AGAAAAGAGCAAAACAUCUGUCACGCUAGGCCUUCACAUGAUCGAAUACAGUCGUAGUUGACCAGUCAAAAGCAGCCUCGCUUGGGCGAUCUUUGGAACCGAGUACAGCGCUACUUGAAUGAACGCCAAAAGAAUCUAAACUUUCGUGACCCCCGCUUGUUUAAUGUUUCUCAAAAUAUAUCGAGGUAUUGUCUCAGAGGAAACAAAUGUUUUCUUGGAUCGACUACGAUCGCCAUUAAAUGCCUUCAAACGAGGGUCUGCACCAUAGUCCAGCAGCUCCCUUACAAUGUCUGCAUGUCCCUUAUAUGAGGCCCAUACCAAAGGAGACCACCCGCCCUAAAAUGGAGAAUAUUCUAUUAGUCAUGGAAUUGUGACAGAAGUGUAAAGUACGAUUCUCCACCAAAUGCUAUAUUUCAUGCAAAAAAACUGUCAAAGGAGAACAGCUAGUGACUGCACUUACAACAGCCCAUUUGAAACAGAGGUCACGGAUACAUGUAUGUUCAAAACUUACCAACAUUGAAUGCAGAAUAACAGGAACUUUACAUAACAUAAUUAAAGGAAGAGCUUGGUCUACUGAAUCAAUGCUAGUGAUAGAAAUGUCCACCAGGAAUGCUACACAUUUGCAAGGAGUGAGCUGACGUCUGCAAAGUCCUUUUAAAAUACUCGUGUUAAGAUCUAGUUUGGUACAAGCCCCAGGAAAUGUCAUUUUCAGCUUUCGAUGCUUACCAGUGGCUGUCGAUGCAAUAUUCAUUUGACGAGGGUCGGAAGUUACUAUUCCAAAG